rnacentral:rRNA from 1 species
UACGGGGGGGGCAAGCGUUGUUCGGAAUUACUGGGCGUAAAGGGCUCGCAGGCGGCCAACUAAGUCAGACGUGAAAUCCCCAGGCUCAACCUGGGAACUGCGUCUGAUACUGGAUGGCUUGAAUUCGGGAGAGGGAUGCAGAAUUCCAGGUGUAGCGGUGAAAUGCGUAGAUAUCUGGAGGAAUACCGGUGGCGAAGGCGGCAUCCUGGGCCGACAUUGACGCUGAGGAGCGAAAGCUAGGGGAGCAAACGGG